UACGUAGGGGGCAAGCGUUGUCCGGAUUCAUUGGGCGUAAAGAGCGUGUAGGCGGCCAGGUAGGUCGGUUGUGAAAACUGGAGGCUCAACCUUCAGAGGUCGACCGAAACCAUCUGGCUAGAGUCCGGGAGAGGAGAGUGGAAUUCCUGGUGUAGCGGUGGAAUGCGCAGAUAUCAGGAGGAACACCAAUAGCGAAGGCAGCUCGCUGGGACGUUACUGACACUGAGGCGCGAAGGCCAGGGGAGCAAACGGG
rnacentral:rRNA from 1 species